GACGAACGCUGGCGGCGUGCUUAACACAUGCAAGUCGAACGGUAAGGCCCUACGGGGUACACGAGUGGCGAACGGGUGAGUAACACGUGGGUGAUCUGCCCUGCACUUCGGGAUAAGCCUGGGAAACUGGGUCUAAUACCGGAUAGGACCACUGCCUGCAUGGGGGGUGGCGGAAAGCUUUUGCGGUGUGGGAUGGGCCCGCGGCCUAUCAGCUUGUUGGUGGGGUGAUGGCCUACCAAGGCGACGACGGGUAGCCGGCCUGAGAGGGUGACCGGCCACACUGGGACUGAGAUACGGCCCAGACUCCUACGGGAGGCAGCAGUGGGGAAUAUUGCACAAUGGGCGCAAGCCUGAUGCAGCGACGCCGCGUGAGGGUUGACGGCCUUCGGGUUGUAAACCUCUUUCAGCACCGACGAAGCGCAAGUGACGGUAGGUGCAGAAGAAGGACCGGCCAACUACGUGCCAGCAGCCGCAGUAA
rnacentral:rRNA from 1 species